GAUAAACGCUGGCGGCGUGCUUAACACAUGCAAGUCGAACGAAGUUUUUCCUUCGGGAGCAACUUAGUGGCGGACGGGUGCGUAACGCGUGGGUAACCUGCCCUGUACAGGGGGACAACAGCUGGAAACGGCUGCUAAUACCGCAUAAGCACUUAGCACUGCAUGGUGCAUAGGGAAAAGGAGCAAUCCGGUACAGGAUGGACCCGCGUCUGAUUAGCCAGUUGGCAGGGUAACGGCCUACCAAAGCGACGAUCAGUAGCCGAUCUGAGAGGAUGUACGGCCACAUUGGGACUGAGACACGGCCCAGACUCCUACGGGAGGCAGCAGUGGGGAAUAUUGCACAAUGGAGGAAACUCUGAUGCAGCGACGCCGCGUGAGUGAAGAAGUAUUUCGGUAUGUAAAGCUCUAUCAGCAGGGAAGAAAAUGACGGUACCUGACUAAGAAGCACCGGCUAAAUACGU
rnacentral:rRNA from 1 species